GGUCUUAUAACGCUGAAUCCUUGAAAGACACAAGGAACGGGGGAACCAACGGAAGCCGCAACCCGGCUUCAUGGGGUGAAUCGCUCGGCACUUUCAAAUGCCGGGCGUAGGGCGACUCUCACGCCCGAAUCCGUCAGCUAACCUCGUAAGCGUGUGGAGAGGCAAC
rnacentral:sRNA from 1 species